rnacentral:rRNA from 1 species
GAUGAUUAGAGAUAGCUUGCUAUCUUUAUGAAGAGCGGCGAACGGGUGAGUAACGCGUGGGAAAUCUGCCGAGUAGCGGGGGACAACGUUUGGAAACGAACGCUAAUACCGCAUAACAAUGAGGAUCGCAUGAUUCUUAUUUAAAAGAAGCAAUUGCUUCACUACUUGAUGAUCCCGCGUUGUAUUAGCUAGUUGGUAGUGUAAAGGACUACCAAGGCGAUGAUACAUAGCCGACCUGAGAGGGUGAUCGGCCACACUGGGACUGAGACACGGCCCAGACUCCUACGGGAGGCAGCAGUAGGGAAUCUUCGGCAAUGGGGGCAACCCUGACCGAGCAACGCCGCGUGAGUGAAGAAGGUUUUCGGAUCGUAAAACUCUGUUGUUAGAGAAGAACGUUAAGUAGAGUGGAAAGUUACUUAAGUGACGGUAUCUAACCAGAAAGGGACGGCUAACUACGUGCCAGCAGCCGCGGUAAUACGUAGGUCCCAAGCGUUGUCCGGAUUUAUUGGGCGUAAAGCGAGCGCAGGUGGUUUCUUAAGUCUGAUGUAAAAGGCAGUGGCUCAACCAUUGUGUGCAUUGGAAACUGGGAGACUUGAGUGCAGGAGAGGAGAGUGGAAUUCCAUGUGUAGCGGUG